GGGGUCUGCAACUCGACCCCAUGAAGUCGGAGUCGCUAGUAAUCGCAGAUCAGCAACGCUGCGGUGAAUACGUUCCUGGGCCUUGUACACACCGCCCGUCACGUCAUGAAAGUUGGCAACGCCUGAAGUCGAUGGGCUAACCAGUUUACUGGGGGCAGUCGCCGAAGGUGGGGCUAGCGAUUGGGACGAAGUCGUAACAAGGUAGCUGUAGCGGAAGCUGUGGCUGGAUCACCUCCUUUCUAGGGAG
rnacentral:rRNA from 1 species